AAGCCUUUUCUUGUCUUUCAAAAGUUUUAUUUGACUAAAGCAUCAAAGAGUCCCUCACUACACAUGCUCCGCUGGGUAGACCACUUUGCUUUUAUAGUUUUAAAUUUUAGCCAAUGUUGGAGCACGGUUCAAAGUCGUUCCUCCACUACCCCAUGCCAACUUGUGGGUGCUUGGUGUUAGAAUCCUCAUUAAUGACCAAGUGCAGUAGCCAUCAGAUUAUCGCUGUAGAGAUAUGCAGCAACCUUAUCCAA
rnacentral:lncRNA from 1 species